rnacentral:rRNA from 1 species
AGGGUUCGAUUAUGGCUCAGGAUGAACGCUGGCGGCGUGCUUAACACAUGCAAGUCGAACGAACCCUCGGGUUAGUGGCGGACGGGUGAGUAACGCGUGAGAAUCUGCCCUCAGGAGGGGGAUAACGGUUGGAAACGACCGCUAAUACCCCAUAUGCCGAUAGGUGAAACGAAUUUCGCCUGAGGAUGAGCUCGCGUCUGAUUAGCUUGUUGGUGAGGUAAUGGCUUACCGAGGCUUCGAUCAGUAGCUGGUCUGAGAGGAUGAUCAGCCACACUGGGACUGAGACACGGCCCAGACUCCUACGGGAGGCAGCAGUGGGGAAUUUUCCGCAAUGGGCGAAAGCCUGACGGAGCAACGCCGCGUGAGGGAAGAAGACCUCUGGGCUGUAAACCUCUUUUCUCAAGGAAGAAGAUAUGACGGUACUUGAGGAAUAAGCCACGGCUAAUUCCGUGCCAGCCGCCGCGGUAAUAC